rnacentral:lncRNA from 1 species
GAAGAACCCUUGGAGUCUUGCUGCUCAUUCUGUUGGCUCUGAAGAGGAGCUCACGGAUGAUGGAGAUGAAAGGAGUAAUGCCACUUCCUCCACUCACCAUCACAAGCAUGUCAUGCCUGCAUUAUAUUUUUCUCCAUCUUAAUCAAAGGUAUGAAAACACAUCAAAGUGGGUUACAGAUUUUCUUGAGCUAUUAUCAAUAAAUGGUACUUGCUUUGUACUGUUGAAGCUUAACAUAUCUGAUUUCAGAGCCUCUGGAAGUUAAGUCUUUAAGUUCUUAAACAUGAAAUAUGCUUGUUAUAUGCAAUAAUACAAACUCAUCUGAGAUGAUGUUUCUUUGGAUGAAAAACGCUUCAAAAAUUUGAACUUCCAAAAGGCUUUGCUUGUAUUUACACACCUUAGAAAAUUGGUUGAAGUAGGUCCAUAGGGCCCUUCAAUGCUGACCUCAAGGUGCUCUAUCAGUGAGGGGGAUGAUAGCUUACAAUACAAUGUGCUGGACCAACUUCCUUCACUUUUGAUGACAACACUUACCUUCUCAGGAUCUGUAUUACUGUUUGAGGUGAUUGUAAAAGGAUGCCAUUGCAGCUUGGAAAUGCUAGGCACAUUUAUAAAGAGGGUACUUGUUGGAGUAUAGUUCAGCCCUGGUAAGAAACAUCAGUAAAGUUUUUGUUCCUUAAUUUUUAUUUUAUUUUCUCUGUUUAGUGUAUUUUCAACUUAAAACUUCAUCCAUGAUGCACUGAAAGGAAAAUUAAAUCUAAAAAAAUGUGAAAGGAUCAUGUCUUAUUACUGUACUUUUACCUGAUGCUUUAGAGAAGUUCAACUCAACCGCUUCACAAGGUAAAAGGCGGGCUGCAACCAAGCGAACCCUUUGUUGGGAUUGUAAGAAUCGCAAGUACCGGUCUAUCAAGAAAAGGUAGAAACCUGGAAGCAUGAUGCAGGAGUAGGAGAUGCCCACAUGUAACAUGAAAAAGACGAUGAAAAGGACAUACAGAUGAUGGGUAUAAAAGAAGAGCUCAAAGAUCUUCUGCCUUAUAUGAGGGAA